CGCAGGACUAGGGCCACUGUGGUCAUACCGCCCACCUCAAACACUGAUCUCCUCUUAAGCCUGUCUCCAGCUGGGGUCUCUGGGCCACAGGGGCCUGCCAUGGGCCCAGGUAGCAAAGAAGUACUCCUUGCUGCAGACGGUAGCUACUGUUGUUGUUUGGGAAAACUUUACCACGGUGACGAAACAUUAUCCCGACCUCCGUCCCCUGACGUAAUUGGUUCCUGCGUAGAGACCAGCAAGCUUUUGGGGCCGGUGUGGAACCAGGUUUUCAGCCUCAGAACGGUCUUUUCUGCGGUGGAAAUGUGCGGAACGGUUCGAAAAUUCGCACAGGCCCAGGAACCCGCACCCGAACCAUGUUGGUAGAAAAGAGCUACUCAUGUGCAAAUCCACAACAGACCUGGGGCACACAUGCACAGGAUGCAUUCUUGCAUUCAAAAGCAGUUAGACGGUGCGCAACAGAAUGGAACAACGCAGAAUGUAAGAUCUGAAAGACACACACAGGCUUGCCACCAAUCAGAGCUUCUUACUAACAGAGAUAAUUCUCUCAAAGAUCUUUAAAGGAAAAAACAUGUUAUGAUAGUUUCUCUGUGAUACCGUUUGUCAUAAUUGAUGGUAACCAGACACCAUAAUGACAAGGGUCAACACUGAUAUUGUGGCAGACCAAUUUCACAGUUGCUGCAAUA